ACGAGUCCUUUACUGACGCUAAAGCUCGAAGGUGCGGGUAUCGAACAGGAUUAGAUACCCUGGUAGUCCGCACGGUAAACGAUGGAUGCCCGCUGUUUGCGAUAUAUUGUAAGCGGCCAAGCGAAAGCGUUAAGCAUCCCACCUGGGGAGUACGCCGGCAACGGUGAAACUCAAAGGAAUUGACGGGGGCCCGCACAAGCGGAGGAACAUGUGGUUUAAUUCGAUGAUACGCGAGGAACCUUACCCGGGCUUGAACUGCAGGAGAACGAUCCAGAGAUGGUGAGGCCCUUCGGGGCUCCUGUGGAGGUGCUGCAUGGUUGUCGUCAGCUCGUGCCGUGAGGUGUCGGCUUAAGUGCCAUAACGAGCGCAACCCCUUUCGCCAGUUGCCAUCAGGUGAUGCUGGGCACUCCGGCGACACUGCCACCGUAAGGUGUGAGGAAGGUGGGGAUGACGUCAAAUCAGCACGGCCCUUACGUCCGGGGCUACACACGUGUUACAAUGGGUGGUACAGAGAGCAGGGUGCACGCAAGUUCACCCGAAUCACGAAAGCCAUCCUCAGUUCGGAUUGGGGUCUGCAACCCGACCCCAUGAAGCUGGAUU
rnacentral:rRNA from 1 species